rnacentral:rRNA from 1 species
AGGAUGAACGCUGGCGGCGUGCUUAAUACAUGCAAGUCGAGCGGUAAGGCCCCUUCGGGGGUACACGAGCGGCGGACGGCUGAGUAACGCGUGGGAACGUACCCCGAAGUGAGGGAUAAGCACCAGAAAUGGUGUCUAAUACCGCAUGUGCUCUAAGGAGUAAAGCUCCGGCGCUUCGGGAACGGCCUGCGUCCGAUUAGCUUGUUGGUGAGGUAAUGGCUUACCAAGGCGACGAUCGGUAGCUGGUCCGAGAGGAUGACCAGCCAGACUGGGACUGAGAACGGCCCAGACUCCUACGGGAGGCAGCAGUAGGGAAUUUUCCACAAUGGACGAAAGUCUGAUGGAGCAACGCCGCGUGCAGGAUGAAGGCCUUAGGGUCGUAAACUGCUUUUAUGUAUGAAGAUUAUGACGGUAGUACAUAGAAUAAGGAUCGGACUAACUCCGUGCCAGCAGCCGC